rnacentral:rRNA from 1 species
AACGAACGCUGGCGGCAGGCCUAACACAUGCAAGUCGGGCGAAGCCUUCGGGCUUAGCGGCGGACGGGUGAGUAACGCGUGGGAACGUGCCCUUUGGUACGGAAUAGCCCCGGGAAACUGGGAGUAAUACCGUAUGUGGUCGAGAGACGAAAGAUUUAUCGCCAAAGGAUCGGCCCGCGUUGGAUUAGGUAGUUGGUGGGGUAAUGGCCUACCAAGCCGACGAUCCAUAGCUGGUUUGAGAGGAUGAUCAGCCACACUGGACUGAGACACGGCCCAGACUCCUACGGGAGGCAGCAGUGGGGAAUCUUAGACAAUGGGGGAAACCCUGAUCUAGCCAUGCCGCGUGAUCGAUGAAGGCCUUAGGGUUGUAAAGAUCUUUCAGUGGGGAAGACAAUGACUGUACCCACAGAAGAAGCCCCGGCUAACUCCGUGCCAGCCGCCGCAGUAACAC